rnacentral:rRNA from 1 species
AUUGAACGCUGGCGGCAUGCCUUACACAUGCAAGUCGAACGGCAGCACGGGAGCAAUCCUGGUGGCGAGUGGCGAACGGGUGAGUAAUGUAUCGGAACGUACCUUUCAGUGGGGGAUAACGUAGCGAAAGUUACGCUAAUACCGCAUAUUCUGUGAGCAGGAAAGCAGGGGAUCGCAAGACCUUGCGCUGAUUGAGCGGCCGAUAUCAGAUUAGCUAGUUGGUGAGGUAAAGGCUCACCAAGGCGACGAUCUGUAGCGGGUCUGAGAGGAUGAUCCGCCACACUGGAACUGAGACACGGUCCAGACUCCUACGGGAGGCAGCAGUGGGGAAUUUUGGACAAUGGGCGCAAGCCUGAUCCAGCCAUGCCGCGUGAGUGAAGAAGGCCUGGUUGUAAG